CAAUAGCGUAUAUUAAAGUUGUUGCAGUUAAAAAGCUCGUAGUUGGAUUUCUGGUGGGAGCGAUCGGUCUGGCGCUUAGCGCGAGUACUUGCAUCGUCUCCGGCCAUCCUUGGGGAGAGUCUGUCUGGCAUUAAGUUGUCGGGCAGAGGAUCCUCAUCGUUUACUGUGAAAAAAUUAGAGUGUUCAAAGCAGGCUUAUGCCGUUGAAUAUAUUAGCAUGGAAUAAUAAGAUAGGACUUUGGUACUAUUUUGUUGGUUUGCGCACCAAAGUAAUGAUUAAUAGGGACAGUUGGGGGUAUUCGUAUUCCGUUGUCAGAGGUGAAAUUCUUGGUUUUACGGAAGACGAACUACUGCGAAAGCAUUUACCAAGGAUGUUUUCAUUAA
rnacentral:rRNA from 1 species